rnacentral:rRNA from 1 species
UACGUAGGGCGCAAGCGUUGUCCGGAAUUAUUGGGCGUAAAGAGCUCGUGGGUGGUCUGUCGCGUCCGCUGUGAAAACCUAAGGCUUAACCUUGGGCCUGCAGUGGAUACGGGCAGACUAGAGGUAGGUAGGGGAGAAUGGAAUUCCCGGUGUAGCGGUGAAAUGCGCAGAUAUCGGGAGGAACACCGGUGGCGAAGGCGGUUCUCUGGGCCUUACCUGACACUGAGGAGCGAAAGCGUGGGGAG